rnacentral:lncRNA from 1 species
UGCUCCACAAAUCCAUUGCAUAGUUUUGGAUAUAAAUAAUGAAAAAUACUUGGACAAAGACACAUCGAAUAGUCAUCGAAUUAUGGGUAACAUUUUCUAAUUAAGCAGCCUCUGAACUUUGAAUAAUGCAAGUGAUCAAGCAAGCACUAAAAGAUUUUAAAUUGAUGACAUUAAGUUGGAUUGAAGAUGAAGCAUAACAACCAUCUCCCCGAGAAGAAGACUAGCAUGCUAACAUGGUAACAUGGUAACAUGUCAUGAUUCAAUACAUAUGAUAUAGGCAGUAAGGUAUAGAUUCAUCAAUGAGCUGUACAGUAUAUACUAACAUUUACAGGUCUCUUUCAUUAUCUUAUUAUAAUCUGGGAUCUGAAUUAUUGAAAGAAAAGAGGUUUUUUAAUACAAAUUUUUUUCUUCUGAAAAAUGCUUAAAGAUCCAAACGUGGGCUGCAGUACAGGUGGGUUGUUUGUUUGUUAGUGAAGCAAAAGCUUGCUGGUUUUUUUUCCCCCUCUUCUUCAAUAAAUGGAGCUUUCUAUUCCAUGCAUGACAAGGGGUAGAAUCAUUUCAUCUACUCCGAGAUCCUGCCGUGAGUGCAACGCAGCCUUCUCUUUAUCUCUCGUCACGUAAUUAGUCUCACGUGAGCAUGAGAUAGAGAGAAACAUGGAUUUUCA